UAUAUCGGAACGUGCCCAGUCGUGGGGGAUAACGUAGAGAAAUUUACGCUAAUACCGCAUACGAUCUACGGAUGAAAGCGGGGGACUUCGCAAGGAGCCUCGCGCGACUGGAGCGGCUGAUAUCAGAUUAGGUUGUUGGUGAGGUAAAAGCUCACCAAGCCGACGAUCUGUAGCUGGUUUGAGAGAACGACCAGCCACACUGGGACUGAGACACGGCCCAG
rnacentral:rRNA from 1 species